AUUGAACGCGGGCGGCAGGCCUAACACAUGCAAGUCGAGCGGAGAUGAGGUGCUUGCACCUUAUCUUAGCGGCGGACGGGUGAGUAAUGCUUAGGAAUCUGCCUAUUAGUGGGGGACAACAUUCCGAAAGGAAUGCUAAUACCGCCUACGUCCUACGGGAGAAAGCAGGGGAUCUUCGGACCUUGCGCUAAUAGAUGAGCCUAAGUCGGAUUAGCUAGUUGGUGGGGUAAAGGCCUACCAAGGCGACGAUCUGUAGCGGGUCUGAGAGGAUGAUCCGCCACACUGGGACUGAGACACGGCCCAGACUCCGACGGGAGGCAGCAGUGGGGAAUAUUGGACAAUGGGCGGAAGCCUGAUCCAGCCAUGCCGCGUGUGUGAAGAAGGCCUUUUGGUUGUAAAGCACUUUAAGCGAGGAGGAGGCUACCUGGAUUAAUACUCUAGGAUAGUGGACGUUACUCGCAGAAUAAGCACCGGCUAACUCUGUGCCAGCCGCCGCAGUAAAAC
rnacentral:rRNA from 1 species